rnacentral:misc_RNA from 1 species
CGAUUAACGGUCGAUACACAAAGGCUCAGCGCGAGAUCUAUGACCUGGUGCUGGAAGCGCAGAUGGCUUGUGUCGAACUAGUCCGGCCCGGCACCACGCAUGACCAGCUCAAGAGCCAUUCAAUCGAGGUGCUGACAAAGGGUAUGGUACGUCUCGGAUUGCUAAAGGGCGAUCCGGCCGAGUUGAUCAAAGAGAAGAAGCACGAGCAGUUUUACAUGCACGGGCUGGGUCACAUGUUGGGGAUCGAUGUGCACGACGUGGGCCGCUACUACUACGACCAGGAGUCGCGCUCACUGGAGCCAGGUGUGGUGAUGACGGUCGAG